UACAGAGGUCCCGAGCGUUGUUCGGAUUCAUUGGGCGUAAAGGGUGCGUAGGUGGCGCUGUAAGUCAGGUGUGAAAUCUCGGGGCUCAACCCCGAAACUGCACUUGAUACUGCCUCGCUUGAGUACUGGAGAGGAGACUGGAAUUUACGGUGUAGCAGUGAAAUGCGUAGAUAUCGUAAGGAAGACCAGUGGCGAAGGCGAGUCUCUGGACAGUUACUGACGCUGAGGCACGAAGGCCAGGGGAGCAAACGGG
rnacentral:rRNA from 1 species